AUACGAAGGGGGCUAGCGUUGUUCGGAUUUACUGGGCGUAAAGCGCACGUAGGCGGAUUGACAAGUUAGGGGUGAAAUCCCGAGGCUCAACCUCGGAACUGCCUCUAAAACUGUCAAUCUCGAGACCGGAAGAGGUGAGUGGAACUCCUAGUGUAGAGGUGGAAUUCGUAGAUAUUAGGAAGAACACCAGUGGCGAAGGCGGCUCACUGGUCCGGUACUGACGCUGAGGUGCGAAAGCGUGGGGAGCAAACAGGAUUAGAAACCCUAGUAGUCC
rnacentral:rRNA from 1 species